GUGUCAGCAGCCGCGGUAAUAUGUAGGUGGCAAGCGUUAUCCGGAAUUAUUGGGCGUAAAGCGCGCGCAGGUGGUUUCUUAAGUCUGAUGUGAAAGCCCACGGCUCAACCGUGGAGGGUCAUUGGAAACUGGGAGACUUGAGUGCAGAAGGGGAAAGUGGAAUUCCAUGUGUAGCGGUGAAAUGCGCAGAGAUAUGGAGGAACACCAGUGGCGAAGGCGACUUUCUGGUCUGUAACUGACGCUGAUGUGCGAAAGCGUGGGGAUCAAACAGGAUUAGAAACCCCUGUAGUCC
rnacentral:rRNA from 1 species